rnacentral:rRNA from 1 species
CAUGCGGCGCAUUAGCUAGUCGGGGGGGUAACGGCCCACCGAGGCUACGAUGCGUAGGGGUUCUGAGAGGAAGGUCCCCCACACUGGUACUGAGACACGGACCAGACUCCUACGGGAGGCAGCAGUGAGGAAUAUUGGUCAAUGGGCGGAAGCCUGAACCAGCCAAGUCGCGUGAGGGAAGACGGUCCUAUGGAUUGUAAACCUCUUUUGCAGGGGAGCAAGGCGCGGUACGUGUACCGCGAAGGAGAGUACCCUGAGAAAAAGCAUCGGCUAACUCCGUGCCAGCAGCCGCGGUAAUACGGAGGAUGCGAGCGUUAUCCGGAUUUAUUGGGUUUAAAGGGUGCGCAGGCGGACUGUUAAGUCAGCGGUAAAAUGUCGGUGCUCAACACCGGCCGGCCGUUGAAACUGGCAGCCUUGAGUGAGCGAGAAGUAUGCGGAAUGCGUGGUGUAGCGGUGAAAUGCAUAGAUAUCACGCAGAACUCCGAUUGCGAAGGCAGCAUACCGGCGCUCAACUGACGCUCAGGCACGAAAGCGUGGGUAUCGAACAGGCUUAGAUACCCUGGUAGUCCACGCAGUAAACGAUGAAUGCUCACUGUCCGGGCCGUUUAAGGCCUGG